rnacentral:rRNA from 1 species
UGAGUACGAGAUGCUACGGCAUCGAAGCAGUCUAUGUCAUACUUCCAAGAAAAGCUUGCACUGUCAGAAACAGAUAAUGCCUGUACCAUAACCGACACAGGUGGGUAGGUAGAGUAUACUAAGGGGCGCGAGAUAACUCUCUCUAAGGAACUCGGCAAAAUGACUCCGUAACUUCGGGAGAAGGAGUGCCUUAUUUUUAAGGUUGCAAUAACAAGAUCCAAGCAACUGUUUACCAAAAACACAGGUCUCCGCUAAGUCGUAAGACGAUGUAUGGGGGCUGACGCCUGCCCAGUGCCAGAAGGUUAAAGAAGUCGGUUAGCAUUCGCGAAGCUGGUAACUGAAGCCCUGGUGAACGGCGGCCGUAACUAUAACGGUCCUAAGGUAGCGAAAUUCCUUGUCGGGUAAGUUCCGACCCGCACGAAAGGCGUAAUGAUUUGGAUACUGUCUCGGAGAGGGGCUCGGUGAAAUAGACUUGUCUGUGAAGAUGCGGACUACCUGCACCUGGACAGAAAGACCCUAUGAAGCUUUACUGUAACUUGAAAUUGAAAUUGGACUUUAUUUGCGCAGUAUAGGUGGGAGGCGUUGAAAAUAUUCUUGCGGGAAUAUUGGAGCCAUCAGUGAGAUACCACUCUUGUAAUGUUAGAUUUCUAACUUUAUAUCAUUAUCUGGUUAAAGAACAGUUUCAGGCGGGCAGUUUGACUGGGGCGGUCGCCUCCCAAAUGGUAACGGAGGCGCACAAAGGUUUCCUCUGAACGGGUAGAAAUCGUAUCUAGAGUGUAAAGGCAUAAGGAAGCUUGACUGUGAGACCUACAAGUCGAGCAGGGACGAAAGUCGGUCUUAGUGAUCUGACGGUGCUGAGUGGAAAGGCCGUCACUCAACGGAUAAAAGUUACUCUAGGAUAACAGGCUGAUCUCCCCCAAGAGUUCACAUCGACGGGGAGGUCUGGCACCUCGAUGUCGGCUCAUCGCAUCCUGGGGCGGUAGUACGUCCCAAGGGUUGGGCUGUUCGCCCAUGAAAGCGGUACGCGAGCUGGGUUCAGAACGUCGUGAGACAGUUCGGUCCAUAUCCGGUGUAGGCGUUAGAAUAUUGAGAGGAGCCUUCUUUAGUACGAGAGGACCGAGAAGGACAUACCUCUGGUGUACCAGUUAUCGUGCCAACGGUAAACGCUGGGUAGCUAUGUAUGGAGUGGAUAACCGCUGAAAGCAUCUAAGUGGGAAGCCCACCUCAAGAUAAGUAUUCUCACC